UACAGAGGUCCCAAGCGUUGUUCGGAUUCACUGGGCGUAAAGGGUGCGUAGGCGGUCAGGUAAGUCUGAUGUGAAAUCUCUGGGCUUAACCCAGAAAUGGCAUUGGAUACUAUUUGGCUUGAGAGUUGGAGGGGGGACUGGAAUUCUUGGUGUAGCAGUGAAAUGCGUAGAUAUCAAGAGGAACACCAGUGGCGAAGGCGAGUCCCUGGACAACUUCUGACGCUGAGGCUCGAAAGCGUGGGGAGCAAACAGG
rnacentral:rRNA from 1 species